GUGUCAGCCGCCGCGGUAAUACGUAGGAGGCAAGCGUUGUCCGGAAUUACUGGGCGUAAAGAGCGCGUAGGUGGUCUUGUACGACCGCUGUGAAAGCCCCCGGCUCAACUGGGGAGGGUCAGUGGUAACGGCAGGACUCGGAGUCUAGGAGAGGGAAGUGGAACUCCGGGAGUAGCGGUGAAAUGCGUAGAUACCCGGAGGAACACCAGUGGCGAAGGCGGCUUCCUGGCCUAGUACUGACGCUGUGGCGCGAAAGCUAGGGGAGCAAACGGGAUUAGAUACCCCGGUAGUCC
rnacentral:rRNA from 1 species